rnacentral:rRNA from 1 species
AGAUUGAACGCUGGCGGCAUGCCUAACACAUGCAAGUCGAACGGGAGUAGCAAUACUCUAGUGGCGGACGGGUGAGGAAUACGUAGGAAUUUGCCCUUAAGUGGGGGAUAACCCGGGGAAACCCGGAUUAAUACCGCAUGACCUCGAAAGAGCAAAGUGGGGGAUCGCAAGACCUCACGCUUUUGGAGAAGCCUACGUCGGAUUAGCUAGUUGGUGAGGUAAUGGCUCACCAAGGCGACGAUCCGUAACUGGUCUGAGAGGAUGAUCAGUCACACCGGAACUGAGACACGGUCCGGACUCCUACGGGAGGCAGCAGUGGGGAAUAUUGGACAAUGGGCGCAAGCCUGAUCCAGCAAUGCCGCGUGUGUGAAGAAGG